AUGAGUGGGUUAGUAACUUAGUAUACGAGGAAACGCUGAAGGAGGAAGACGACUGCUGAAGAGGAAGACGAAGAGGAGGAGGAAGGAGAGGAGGAAGAGGAGUUGAUGGACCUGCCUUCUCAGGGACAACCAGGAGAAGACGAAGAUGAAAUUACAAAACCCAGAAGGCUGAAAGAGGAAGUCAGUCAGUCAGUCUACAGUCAUUACAAAACCCUGAAGACAAGACUGGAGGAGGAAGUCAGUCUAGUGUCAUCCCAAGAGGAGGCGGCCUGAGGUGCCAGGAAGGUGAAACCUAUCUGGAGGACAAAAUGCUCCUCUGGAAAAAGUUGUGAGAGGAACAACUGAUACUUGUACAGCAAGGGGAGCAACGGAGCACUUCUCAACCCCUUGACUGUGGACUUCCUGCCAGAAGACAUCACCAGGAUACAGAAAUGGAUCAAAGAGUGGCUGCUACAAUUUAAUAUAGAAGAAUGUAUUCCUGCACCUUGGGAGGGGAUAUCCAGCACACCGAUACCACAUGGGAAACACUCCACUAUCCACCACAGAGGCAGGGAAAGACCUGGGAGUAUGGGUUACCAGGCUACCAGUGAAAGCCAAAUCCGUGCCAAUCACAGCGGACGUGUUAAAGGGAUUGAAGAGACAAAGGAGGUAAGGAAAAGGCAUCUCAAUUCAUGAGGAAAGAGAAGUGACCAGUAUGGAAGUAAAGAUUCAAGUGGAACAACCACAUCAUACCUACAAGGGGAAGUGUAGAGGAGAUAGACAUGGCAAUAGAAAAGUUGAGAGAGAGAGAGAGAGUGAGUGAGUGAGUUGGUUGGUUGGUUGGCAAAAGAUAUGUGCGGUGAGAGGGCCUGCCAAGACGAGGAAGCCUGGAGGAGCCUCUUCUGCCACGGCGCUCCAUUCAGGGGUGGCUGUGUGAGGGGACAGUAUCAGAGAAAUAGAUGCAAAAGGAAAAUUGUUUGUAUACUGAAAACUUCAUAAAG